GAACUGAAGAGUUUGAUCCUGGCUCAGAUUGAACGCUGGCGGCAUGCCUUACACAUGCAAGUCGAACGGCAGCACGGGGGCAACCCUGGUGGCGAGUGGCGAACGGGUGAGUAAUGAAUCGGAACGUGCCCGGUAGUGGGGGAUAACCAGUCGAAAGACUGGCUAAUACCGCAUACGACCUACGGGUGAAAGCGGGGGACUUGCAGCAAUGCGGGCCUCGCGCUAUCGGAGCGGCCGAUUUCCGAUUAGCUAGUUGGUGAGGUAAAGGCUCACCAAGGCGAUGAUCGGUAGCUGGUCUGAGAGGACGGCCAGCCACACUGGGACUGAGACACGGCCCAGACUCCUACGGGAGGCAGCAGUGGGGAAUUUUGGACAAUGGGCGAAAGCCUGAUCCAGCCAUGCCGCGUGCGGGAAGAAGGCCUUCGGGUUGUAAACCGCUUUUGGCAGGAACGAAACGGCGCGAGC
rnacentral:rRNA from 1 species